GACCUGCCCAAUGAGUAUUUAAAUGGCCGCGGUAUUUUGACCGUGCAAAGGUAGCAUAAUCAUUAGUUUUUUAAUUGAAAGCUGGAAUGAAAGGUUUGAUGAGAAAAUAACUGUCUCUAUUUAAAUUUUUUAGAAUUUUAUUUUUAAGUAAAAAAGCUUAAAUAAAAAUAGAAGACGAGAAGACCCUAUAGAGUUUUAAUUUGGUUGGGGCGAUUAAAAAAUUAAAAGAACUUUUUUUUUAUACAAACAUUAAUUUAUGAAAAUUUGAUCCUUUAUUUAAGAUUAGAAGAUUAAAUUACCUUAGGGAUAACAGCGUAAUUUUUUUUGAGAGUUCAAAUCGAAAGAAAAGUUUGCGACCUCGAUGUUGGAUUAAAAUAAAAUUUUGGUGUAGAAGCUAA
rnacentral:rRNA from 1 species